CACCGCAGCCUAACACAUGCAGUCGAGCGGAACGGCAGUAUUGAAGCUUCGGUGGAUUUACUGGACGUCGAGCGGCGGACGGGUGAGUAACGGCUGGGAACCUGCCCUGACGAGGGGGAUAACCGUUGGAAACGACGGCUAAUACCGCAUAAUGUCUUAGUUCAUUACGAGCUGGGACCAAAGGUGGCCUCUACAUGUAAGCUAUCGCGUUAGGAUGGGCCCAGUUAGGAUUAGCUAGUUGGUAAGGUAACGGCUUACCAAGGCGACGAUCCUUAGCUGGUUUGAGAGGAUGAUCAGCCACACUGGGACUGAGACACGGCCCAGACUCCUACGGGAGGCAGCAGUGGGGAAUAUUGCACAAUGGGGGAGACCCUGAUGCAGCCAUGCCGCGUGUGUGAAGAAGGCCUUCGGGUUGUAAAGCACUUUCAGCAGUGAGGAAGGUAGUGUACUUAAUACGUGCAUUGCUUGACGUUAGCUGCAGAAGAAGCACCGGCUAACUCCGUGCCAGCAGCCGCGGUAAUACGGAGGGUGCGAGCGUUAAUCGGAAUUACUGGGCGUAAAGCGCAUGCAGGCGGUUUGUUAAGUCAGAUGUGAAAGCCCGGGGCUCAACCUCGGAACCGCAUUUGAAACUGGCAGGCUAGAGUCUUGUAGAGGGGGGUAGAAUUUCAGGUGUAGCGGUGAAAUGCGUAGAGAUCUGAAGGAAUACCAGUGGCGAAGGCGGCCCCCUGGACAAAGACUGACGCUCAGAUGCGAAAGCGUGGGUAGCAAACAGGAUUAGAUACCCUGGUAGUCCACGCCGUAACGAUGUCUACUUGGAGGCUGAGGUUUAAGACUUUGGCUUUCGGAGCUAACGCAUUAAGUAGACCGCCUGGGGAGUACGGCCGCAAGGUUAAAACUCAAAUGAAUUGACGGGGGCCCGCACAAGCGGUGGGAGCAUGUGGGUUUAAUUCGAUGCACGCGAAGAACCUUUACCUACUCUUUGACAUCCAGCGAAUCUUUAGAGAAUAGAGGAGUGUCUUUCCGGAGCGCUGGAGACAGGUGCUGCAUUGACUGUCGUCAGCUUCGUGCUGUGAAUGUUUGGGGUUAAGGUUCCCCGCCAAUCGGAG
rnacentral:rRNA from 1 species